GGGGGCUUAGCUCAAUGGCAGAGCACGCGGCUCAUACCCGCUUGGUUGGGGGUUCGACUCCCUCAGCCCCCACCA
rnacentral:tRNA from 2 species